GGGUGCUAUAUUUAAAUAAGGGAGUCAGUGAAGUGGUUGAGCACUGGACAGUUAGGUUACUCUGGAGACCAAGGGUUGAAUCCCUGUUCAGCCAGGAAACCCACAGGGUGCUUUUGGACUCCCCACACAUCCACCCAGCAAUGGCCCUACAGAACUUGGUUGCCGGCAGGAGCAUAGUUUUGGAGAAGACUAUUAAUUUCAAAACAGGAAUUGUGCCUGAGUGAAGCACACUGACAAGAUGCUGGAUCCCAAUUAAUUAUGAGUUUUCUGGAUGAAGAACUAGCAUGGUGUGUUUGUUGUAUUUGGAUUUGAGAAGACUGGGUUUGAAUCCCUACUCUGCAGUGGAAAAGUACUUGGUGACCUUGGG
rnacentral:lncRNA from 11 species